UUACUCAGUACCACACCGCA
rnacentral:misc_RNA from 1 species